UACGGAGGAUCCAAGCGUUAUCCGGAUUUAUUGGGUUUAAAGGGUGCGUAGGCGGAGUGUCAAGUCAGCGGUAAAAUUUCGGGGCUCAACCCCGUCGUGCCGUUGAAACUGGCGUUCUUGAGUGAGCGAGAAGUAUGCGGAAUGCGUGGUGUAGCGGUGAAAUGCAUAGAUAUCACGCAGAACUCCGAUUGCGAAGGCAGCAUACCGGCGCUCAACUGACGCUGAGACACGAAAGCGUGGGGAGCAAAUAGG
rnacentral:rRNA from 1 species